GGUCAUACAGGCACGCGGAGGCCACACACACUACUGAGCCUCAUUUGACUUGUUUUAAGGACAUUACAUCAAAGUUGGAUCAGCCUGUAGUGUGGUUUUCCACUUUAAUUUUGAGUGUGACUCCAAAUCCAGACCUCCAUGGGUUGAUAAAUUGGAUUUCCAUUGAUUAUUUUUGUGUGAUUUUGUUGUCAGCACAUUCAACUAUGUAAAGAAAAAAGUAUUUAAUAAGAUUGUUUAUUUCAUUCAGAUCAAUGCUGCAACUGGAGUGAUCAUGUGAUUAAUACAUGGACAACACGGAUAUUGUUGAAGAAAAAGUGAACUUGGAAAUAAAGCUGCACCUCUUGAAUGUUGAGAGUUUUUUGAUAAAGGGGUCAGUGCUCUAAAAUGAGUCUCUCUGGGGAGAGAGAGGAGGGGGGCCCUGGCUCUAAAAUUAGUCUCUCUGGGGGACAUGAUACCAAAGCUAAAAGCCCAAUCAAGCAGGAGAGACCAGCCUCCCCUGUUCCCAGCUGUGUGAGUGACAAGUCUAUGACUCCUCCUAUAUCCUUUAGAGAUGGAGACUUCUCUACUGAACAAAGGUAAGAAGAACUCAUGGGUCAUGGUCAGUGAGAUAAACAACACUGUCUCUAGUCAUUUCUCCUCUCCCAUUGUCCCAUUUCUUUUUGUUUUCAUAAUUUGUAGGCUAAUCCUUUUUUCUAUUUUCAUAGUCCUAAAACAAUAUUAAACACACACAACAUUCCCUCCCUCCCUGUGUGUGUGAGAGAGAGUGUGUGUGUGUAGUCCCUGGAUGAGGAGAUGUAAUCUCUAUUCACUUUUACCCUGACCUAAAUGUACGUUACCUCAAUUAUAGUCUCAUUAUUACCUCAACUAUCUGGUACCCCUGCACAUUAACUCAGUACUGCUACUCCUUAUAGUCUCAUUAUUACCUCAACUACCUGGUACCCCUGCACAUUGACUCAGUACUGGUACUCCUUAUAGUCUCAUUAUUACCUCAACUACCUGGUACCCCUGCACAUUGACUCAGUACUGGUACUCCUUAUAGCCUCAUUAUUA